CUGCCUGCUCCUUCCUCUGGGAGCUCUGUUCCAGAAGGGCCCUGACUUGAUGCCAGUGAGAAUGCUCCUGUAAAAGAUCUGAAAGAAACGUACCAUCUAUUCUUCGAAGGCUGCAACCAGUGAGGUUUCAUCUACAUAACAAGACCACCUUUGGCGGCCAGGCCUCCUCUUCUCUCCCUCCCAUUACCUGUUUUGCCAUUAUAACCUGAUUUACCACUAUAACCUGUUUUUGCCUGUGCUCUGGACUCCCAUUCUUUCUGUAACCUCAAGAUGAUAUGUAAGCUUCUGCACCCCAUUGGUGAGUUGAGCAGUCACUCUGUGGUUCUCCCUGUGCUCACAUUAAUAAAAUCUAUAUUCCUUUUCUCCAA
rnacentral:lncRNA from 1 species